AAUAUUUCAAGUGCCAUAUGCAGGGGAGGAAGCUAGAGGCAGGUGGUCUUUGUUGAUUCCCAGAAAAAGACCGCGUUUCCUCCCGGUAAAGCACGGUCUUUAAGAAUUGAUCCAACUGGACUUGUCAGUCACCUAGCCAGGAGACCGCCUCUUAGCAAAGCUGAUAUGCCUGAAGACUGCUAAGGUAAUGAUCCUAAGCACGCUUGCCCUGACAUUCUGAACACUCACUCCCAGACAUUCGGAACUCCUUCCAUACAGCUGCUUGCAGACUUCCCAUUGCUGCGCCUGUUUUGACCCUACUUCAAAGGACACGAGGUAGGGUCUUCCUCUUCCUCUACCAUCAGCCACAGAGAUUUACAUCUUGCCUGCCCAGUUUUCUCUCAAACUCCAAAAACAAGGUCUUUAAGCUUUGA